GCAUCAUAAAGGACUGCAGAGCAUCCCGUCCUUUAGCCAGGAAGAUGACCUGGAAUAAACAACCAGCAACUAAACUCAAUAUAUCAACUUUCAGCUUCCAAAGGGUUCAAGCUAGACCUAAGAUGAUUUUACAGAUGCCCCACACAAACAGAAGGAGGAUUUAUCAGAGUAAAUAACCUCCACUGUCCAUCCAGAACUGAGGUUUGUCUUGUUGUGUUCUUGCCAUUUCGUGGCUUUACCCGUGAAGUUAAUACGACAAUACUGAAAUUAAGUUAGCCGAUCGUUUUGUGGCAGUAUAAAAAAAUACAAUCAAAAUGUUUUGUAAGUUAAGGUAAACUUUUGAAGCAAAUGAAGCUCCCCUUUUGGCCUUGCCUGCACUAUGAGCAGAAGAUCUGACAUUAAAAGAAGAUUCUAUGGGAUUUUAUAAAAAGUGUUAAUGGAAAUCAAUGAAACCAUUUUCCAAAUAAAAGUGUAACUUAAAGCCACCAAUACAGGCACAAAACAUUCUAGAAAUUUUCCAUUUUAAAAUAUAUUCGUUCCAGACUCAAAUUUGUAGAUUUUUCUUGCUUGCUUUUUUUAUUUUUUAUUAUUAUUUGUAUGCAUGCUCAUACAACAACACAAUGCCGACGUUCGCUGCUGAUUAAACAGUGUGUUAGAGGGCUAGUUCACUACUGUUUCAGCAUCUGGAUCAACUUAGAUCAGGAACAUUUAGAAUUGUACUUUCUGGAUUGGAUUUUUCUGCAAUAAAUAAAAAUUAUUUAAUGCA